UUCCGGUUGAUCCCGCCGGACCUGACUGCUAUCGGAUUGAUACUAAGCCAUGCGAGUCAUUGUAGCAAUACAAGGCAUACGGCUCAGUAACGCGUAGUCAACCUAACCUAUGGACGGGAAUAACCUCGGGAAACUGAGAAUAAUGCCCGAUAGAACAUUAUGCCUGGAAUGGCUUAUGUUCCAAAUGAUUUAUCGCCGUAGGAUGGGACUGCGGCCUAUCAGUUUGUUGGUGAGGUAAUGGCCCACCAAGACUAUUACAGGUACGGGCUCUGAGAGGAGUAGCCCGGAGAUGGGUACUGAGACACGGACCCAGGCCCUAUGGGGCGCAGCAGGCGAGAAAACUUUGCAAUGUGCGAAAGCACGACAAGGUUAAUCCGAGUGAUUUGUGCUAAACGAAUCUUUUGUUAGUCCUAGAACCACUAACGAAUAAGGGGUGGGCAAGUUCUGGUGUCAGCCGCCGCGGUAAAACCAGCACCUCAAGUGGUCAGGAUGAUUAUUGGGCCUAAAGCAUCCGUAGCCGGCUCUGUAAGUUUUCGGUUAAAUCUGUACGCUUAACGUACAGGCUGCCGGGAAUACUGCAGAGCUAGGGAGUGGGAGAGGUAGACGGUACUCGGUAGGAAGUGGUAAAAUGCUUUGAUCUAUCGAUGACCACCUGUGGCGAAGGCGGUCUACCAGAACACGUCCGACGGUGAGGGAUGAAAGCUGGGGGAGCAAACCGGAUUAGAUACCCGGGUAGUCCCAGCUGUAAACUAUGCAAACUCAGUGAUGCAUUGGCUUGUGGCCAAUGCAGUGCUGCAGGGAAGCCGUUAAGUUUGCCGCCUGGGAAGUACGUACGCAAGUAUGAAACUUAAAGGAAUUGGCGGGGGAGCACCACAAGGGGUGAAGCCUGCGGUUCAAUUGGAGUCAACGCCGGG
rnacentral:rRNA from 1 species